rnacentral:rRNA from 1 species
AGUGAACGCUGGCGGUAGGCCUAACACAUACAAGUCGAACGGCAGCACAGUAAGAGCUUGCUCUUACGGGUGGCGAGUGGCGGACGGGUGAGGAAUACAUCGGAAUCUACUUUUUCGUGGGGGAUAACGUAGGGAAACUUACGCUAAUACCGCAUACGACCUACGGGUGAAAGCAGGGGAUCUUCGGACCUUGCGCGAUUGAAUGAGCCGAUGUCGGAUUAGCUAGUUGGCGGGGUAAAGGCCCACCAAGGCGACGAUCGUAGCUGGUCUGAGAGGAUGAUCAGCCACACUGGAACUGAGACACGGUCCAGACUCCUACGGGAGGCAGCAGUGGGGAAUAUUGGACAAUGGGCGCAAGCCUGAUCCAGCCAUACCGCGUGGGUGAAGAAGGCCUUCGGGUUGUAAAGCCCUUUUGUUGGGAAAGAAAAGCAGCAGGUUAAUACCCCGCUGUUCUGACGGUACCCAAAGAAUAAGCACCGGCUAACUUCGUG